AACGAACGCUGGCGGCGUGUUUAAGACAUGCAAGUCGCACGGGACUAUUUGAGUAGCAAUACAAGAAUAGUUUAGUGGCGCACGGGUGAGUAACACGUGAAUUACAUGCCCUGCAGAGGGGGAUAGCCCAGGGAAACUUGGAUUAAUACCCCAUGGUAUCGCAAGAUUAAAGGUGGCCGCAAGGCUGUCGCUGCAGGAUUGGUUCGCGCCCUAUCAGCUUGUUGGUGAGGUAACGGCUCACCAAGGCUACGACGGGUACCUGGUCUGAGAGGACGAUCAGGCACACUGGAACUGAGACACGGUCCAGACACCUACGGGUGGCAGCAGUCGAGAAUAAUUCACAAUGGGGGCAACCCUGAUGGUGCAACGCCGCGUGGAGGAUGAAGGUCUUCGGAUUGUAAACUCCUGUCAUCCGGGAGUAAGACCUGGCGAUGAAUAGUCGACAGGGUUGAUAGUACCGGAAGAGGAAGGGACGGCUAACUUCGUGCCAGCAGCCGCAGUAA
rnacentral:rRNA from 1 species